UACGUAGUAGGCAAGCGUUCAUCGGAAUUACUGGGCGUAAAGCGCACGCAGGCGGUCUGUCAAGUCGGAUGCGAAAUCCCCGGGCUCAACCUGGGAACUGCAUCCGAAACUGGCAGGCUAGAGUCGUGGAGAGGGGGGUAGAAUUCCAGGUGUAGCGGUGAAAUGCGUAGAGAUCUGGAGGAAUACCGGUGGCGAAGGCGGCCCCCUGGACAAAGACUGACGCUCAGGUGCGAAAGCGUGGGGAGCAAACAGG
rnacentral:misc_RNA from 1 species